rnacentral:rRNA from 1 species
AAUAGAUACCCUGGUAGUCCACGCCGUAAACGAUGGAUGCUAGCUGUUAUGAGUAUCGACCCUUGUAGUAGCGUAGCUAACGCGUUAAGCAUCCCGCCUGUGGAGUACGGUCGCAAGACUAAAACAUAAAGGAAUUGACGGGGACCCGCACAAGCGGUGGAGCGUGUUGUUUAAUUCGAUGGUAAGCGAAGAACCUUACCCAGGCUUGACAUCCUGCUAAUCACUCCGAAAGGAGAGAGUGCCUUCGGGCCGCAGUGACAGGUGUUGCAUGGCCGUCGUCAGCUCGUGUCGUGAGAUGUUUGGUUAAGUCCAUCAACGAGCGCAACCCUUAUAGUUAGUUGUAUUUCUCUAGCUAGACUGCCCUGGCAACAGGGAGGAAGGAGGGGAUGAUGUCAGGUCAGUAUUACCCUUACGCCUGGGGCUACAAACACGCUACAAUGGCCGGUACAAAGGGCAGCCAACCCGCGAGGGGAGCAAAUCCCAUCAAAGCCGGUCUCAGUUCGGAUUGCAGGCUGAAACUCG